rnacentral:misc_RNA from 1 species
UGAACGCGCACGCGAGCCUGUAAAAUGGUCUCCGUUAACCUGCGAUGUUGAUAGUAAUGUUUGUAAGCUAAAAUUUGUAUAAUUAAUAUUAAAAUGGCUGGUAAAAUAUGGAAUUCCGAGUUAUGGAAAUCAUGGGAUAAGCAUGGAAAAAAUGAUUUCCUCAAGUUAAUCAAGCAAAAAUAUAAGGAAGGGAACACAACAGAAUGGAGAAAGGGUUUAUACCAAUUGAUAUCAAAUGGAAUCCGAGGAAACGUAAAAAAGGAUAGUGUAGUGUCGACACUUGGUGAACUUAUGAAUAUUGAUGGUGCGAUUCCAUCAGCUGUUGUAGACAUAUUUACAUUAAUCGAUGCUGAAGCGCAUAAUGAGGAUAGAAACAAUUUGUAUUACAUUGUCAAAGAAUCGGAAAAGUUUCUCACAGAUAGAAUCUUGAAAGAGCGUCUGGAAAUUGAUACUCUUCAAGAUGUUGGGACGUUGAAGAAUCGCAAUUUUCAAACUAAGUUCAUCAAAGUUAAAACCAAACUCUACUACAAACAGCGAAAAUUCAAUUUGUUUCGCGAAGAGAGCGAAGGAUAUUCUAAACUGAUUGUUGAAUUAAAUCAAGAAUAUCAAGAAAAUGAAGUUGCAUCUACCUUGGAGAUUGUCAAGUCUCUCAUUGGUUACUUUAAUCUUGACCCUAACAGAGUUCUUGAUAUUUUGCUGGAAACAUUUGAAAAUCGGCCAGAUGACGACAGUUUAUUUAUUCCUCUCAUUCGCUCUUACAUGAGUGACCAGCAAGUACUUUGCGAAGUUCUAGGCUUUAAAUAUCGCUCUUCAACAGCAGCAACCCCAUUUUCUUUACAGAAAGUUGCAGCAUUGAUGUUGCAACAUCAUGUAAUCAAACUGGACGAUAUUUUACCCUGGCUUGUGCCAGACGACAAGGAUAUAAUUAAGGAUCAUGAAUUGGCAAUGAAACAAGCUAAAGAAUAUGUUAGAAAGAUGAGUGUCAUAUCCACUAAAGAUAAGGAGGAAGUCCCUGAGGAAAAAGAUGUCGUACAGGAUAAGUACGUUACCAAUCAAAAGUUUGGACUCUGUCAAGCAUUAUUAGAAGUCGGUGCAUGGGACAUAGCACAGAAUUUAUUUAAACGACUACCAGAUCAUUGCUUUACUGAUCAACGACCAAUCGCACUGGCACUUUGCAGAAUGAUUCAGUCAAUCAUCGAACCAGCCUACAGAAAAUACUGCAUCAUAUCACCAAAGUUACCUGGUAGAAAAGUGCCGCCAAUGAAAAGCCCUCUAGCUCCACUGCCUUUUUAUAAAUUGGACGACAUACACGAUCGUUUACUGCCAAUGCUGAUGAUACUUGGACCUAACUUACAUCACGAUGCAAUUUUGAUGUACAAAAUUAUGCGUCUGUGUCACGUUGCUAUCAAGCAAUGCGAAUUGGACUCAAAUAAGCAACCUAUAAGCAAAGAAAACAAUCUUUACUAUGAUGUGCUUACAAUUUUGGAUGUGGCACUACUGCCCUCUCUUUCGUUUAUGGAUUGCAACUGUUGCGUAGCUGAAGAGAUUUGGAAUAUACUAAAAUUUUACCCUUACCAAAGCCGGUACUGUCUUUACGCACGAUGGAAAAAUGAUACACCUUUACAACAUGCAGCGUUGCUUAGAAAAAGAGCAGAUGCUCAAAAAAAGAUUAAGUCAAUAAUGAAGCGCGUCAGUAAAGAGACCAUAAAACCAGUAGGAAGAUCUAUUGGCAAGCUGACCCAUUCUUCCCCUGGAGUUUUGUUUGAUUAUGUACUGAUACAAAUUCAAUUGUACGACAACCUUAUUGGGCCUGUGGUGGAUUCCCUUAAAUAUUUGACAAACAUCUCGUAUGACAUACUUGGCUAUUGCCUGGUAGAAGCUUUAGCUGGAGCUGACAGGGACAGAUUUAAGCAUGACGGUACAAGCAUUUCUCUCUGGUUACAGUCACUUGCUUCUUUCUGUGGAGCUAUCUUUAAAAAAUACAACAUUGAGCUUACUGGACUUCUACAAUAUGUGGCCAAUCAACUUAAGGCACAGAAAAGCUUAGAUUUGUUAAUUGUAAAGGAAAUUGUGCAGAAAAUGGCUGGUAUAGAAGCCGCUGAAGAAAUGACUCGUGAACAAUUGGAUGCAAUGGCAGGCGGGGAUCUCCUCAAAAAUGAAGCUGGAUACUUCAGUCAAGUUCGAAAUACGAAAAAAUCAUCACAGCGUUUGAAAGAUGCUCUGUCAGAACAUGACUUGGCCGUAGCUCUUUGUCUACUCAUGGCCCAACAAAAACACUGUGUUGUAUACAGAGAAACCGACAAGUCUCACCUCAAGCUUGUAGGUAAAUUAUAUGACCAGUGUCAAGAUACACUCGUUCAAUUUGGCACAUUUCUUGGAUCAACCAUGACUGUGGACGAAUAUGUAGAACGGCUACCGUCGAUACACUCCAUGCUUCAAGAUAAUCACAUACAUUCUGAUGUCGCAUUUUUUCUUGCACGACCAAUGUUUGCUCAUGCCAUUAAUAUAAAGUACGAUUCAAUUAGGAAAGCUGAUCCUAAUUAUAAAAAAAUGUCAAGCGCAUUGAAACAGGCAAAGUACGCUGAAGCAGCACAAGCUGUUAUGGCUCCUGUUGCUCUUUCUGUCAGACCAUUACACCCACUUAAAGUAUGGGAAGAUAUUUCACCACAAUUUUUAGUGACUUUCUGGUCACUUACAAUGUAUGAUUUGUAUGUUCCUGUUGAGAGCUAUGAAAGAGAAAUAAACAAGCUCAAACAGCUUGCUUUGCAGGCUGCUGAUUCCAAAGAUAUGAACAUGAGCAAGGGCAAAAAGGAACAAGAACGUUAUACGACUUUGACUGAAAAACUGCAGGAUGAGAAGAAAAAACAAGAAGAACACGUUGGGAAAGUUUUUGCCUAUUUAAGGCAAGAAAAAGACUCAUGGUUUUUGUCGAGGAGUGCUAAAUCCGCUAAAAAUGAAACUAUUACACAAUUUCUACAGUUAUGUUUGUUUCCUCGGUGCACAUUUACAACUGUUGACGCUAUGUACUGUGCCAAAUUUGUACACACUAUUCACUCUCUGAAAACUGCGAAUUUCUCUACACUUCUCUGCUAUGAUAGACUCUUCUGUGAUAUCACUUACUCGGUAACAUCAUGUACAGAAAAUGAAGCUAAUCGAUAUGGUAGAUUUUUAUGCGCUAUGUUGGAAACUGUGAUGCGAUGGCAUUCCGAAGAAGCUCUUUUCGAUAAGGAAUGUAGUAACUACCCUGGUUUUGUGACCAAAUUUCGUGUCAGCAAUCAGUUCUCAGAAGCAAAUAACAUGGUUGGAUUUGAAAAUUACAGACACGUCUGUCACAAGUGGCAUUACAAAAUAACAAAGGCUAUCGUUGUUUGCCUCGAUUCAAAAGAUUACGUGCAAAUAAGAAAUUCCUUGAUAAUACUUAUCAAAAUACUACCACAUUUUCCCGUUCUGGCAAAACUCUCGCAAAUACUUGAAAGAAAAGUUGAAAAAGUACGUGAAGAGGAGCGUGGUCAGCGCCAAGACUUGCAUGUAUUAGCAACAUCCUACAGUGGACAAUUGAAGGCAAAAACACCAAGUAUGAUCCGUGAAUCAGAUUUUCAUCACGUUGGCGACAAGGCUGGAAAAAACCUUGAAUCGUCUAAUGACGAUAGUGUGGAAAAAGUUAGUAAUGGAGUUGCAAUCAAAGAAGUUAAUAAUGGAGAUACUCGUACAGAAAAAGAUGGACAGGAAUUACGUGAAAAACGCAGCAUAUCAGGGCAAACCCAUCAUGACAGUACUGAAAAACUCCGUAAAAAAGAAGAAAGUAAAGAUCUGAUAGAAGGAAGGGAGAAGUCAAUUAAAAAAGAAGAACCAAAAUCAGAUGAUACGACUGAUAAAAAGGAACGAAAAUAUUACAAGGAUGAACAUUAUUAUGGUGGAGCUGUUGACAAUUUGGAUCGUGAUCUUUCGAGUGUGUCUAAUAGCAGCGGUAGUUCGGGUCCAUCACAAGAUGCACCUGAGAGAGAUACUAAACGAAGGAAAGUUGAAAAUGUUCCCAAAAAUAAACAAGAGAAUAGGAGAACAGAAGUAGCUGCUGAAAAGAAGGAACGUUCUGGGAAAACAAAAGUGCGAACAGACGAAGAGAAAGAACUUCGCAGAGAAAGGAAACUUGGUCGUAAAAGGGAUCGAACAGAAGAGUCUAUUGUACCUGCAGAACAAAAACGAAGGAAAGAUGACGAAAGAGCAAAGGGAACUCAUCAAAACGGUGAUGUUCCAGAACACAGAGAAAAACAUCAUUAUAAUAAGUUAUUAAAGACGUCCGCAUCAAGUAUGUUGAAAAGACGAGUUGGAAGACAAUAACAAUGCCCACAAAGAAUAUAUAGGAAAAAUCUCCAUACACAAAGGAACGGGUUCACGAACGAGAAGGACGGGAAACACGCGACAAACAUAGGCGAAGUUCAGAUCCAAAACGGAGGUGAUGUAGAUCAAUGGAAGAAGUUUGACUUACAUUUUAUAUCAUAUGUUUGAAUGUUGUAUGUAAUUAAGAUAGAUUUCGGAAACAAUAAAGAAGCAUAGUGAAUAAUUUGUA